rnacentral:lncRNA from 1 species
AGCCAACAAGUCACCUGUGAGAGCCAUGUGUCUAAACAUAGACAUGUGGGUAUGACUUUAAAUUCUUCUCUGCACGGAAACCUGUUGACACCUCCUUUUCAAGCUCUUUGUGUGGUCCCAUCUGUUUACAAUUCACUAAUACUUCGGCUCAGGAAUUUCGGGGUUAACUGAAAAUCAGAUUUUCAGCAGAGGCAGAUCUCAGGGAAGCACGGAAUCUGGUGAGAUGACAAUUGUAGUUCUCUGGGGAAGUAAACUCAUAGGAUCACAAGCCCCUAUCCCAGCGUCUAUGCGCUCAAUGGCUGUUGUGAACAUAAACCUGAGCCCAUUGUCCCAGCAGCAGAAAGAAAUCAGGGAUCAUCAAACCCAAGAGAGUCUAGAUUUUCUCCCGUUACUUUCCAGAAGUUUUGCAGUUGUCUAUUUGACAUUUACGUCGUAUGUGUAUAUGACUGUCAGAAAUGAGUAAGGCGAAACAGGAUAAGCUAAGAACACUGCUUCUGAAGUCUGCUGGUGUGGGAGGAAUGGGGCCACCGAGAGCAGCG